AAAAGGGGCUUCUAUAGGGAGUGGCACACGUAGAGCAAUUCUGUUGCUCUUUGUGGGAAAUCAGCAUCAAGAGGUUUCAGAGGCAAAAUGUUUUGGUAUCGAGGCUGCUGGUGAUUGUUGGUCCCGGCACCCUU
ensembl:snRNA